CCUACGGGUGGCAGCAGUGAGGAAUAUUGGUCAAUGGACGAGAGUCUGAACCAGCCAAGUAGCGUGAAGGAUGACUGCCCUAUGGGUUGUAAACUUCUUUUAUAAAGGAAUAAAACGAGGCACGUGUGCCUUUUUGCAUGUACUUUAUGAAUAAGGAUCGGCUAACUCCGUGCCAGCAGCCGCGGUAAUACGGAGGAUCCGAGCGUUAUCCGGAUUUAUUGGGUUUAAAGGGAGCGUAGAUGGGUUGUUAAGUCAGUUGUGAAAGUUUGCGGCUCAACCGUAAAAUUGCAAUUGAUACUGGCAGUCUGGAGUACAGUUGAGGUAGGCGGAAUUCGUGGUGUAGCGGUGAAAGGCUUAGAUAUCACGAAGAACCCCGAUUGCGAAGGCAGCUUACUAAACUGUGACUGACAUUGAUGCUCGAAAGUGUGGGUAUCAAACAGGAGUAGAUACCCGGGUAGUC
rnacentral:rRNA from 1 species